AUUGAUUUUCUCGCUUGAGCCAGUACGGCGAAAGCGAGAAAAGCAAUCGAGUUGGGAUGACCAAUGAUAAUCUAUUUAUCGCUAUUUUACCUAUGAAGACGUUGUUAGUUUCCUUGACAACGGCACGUAUUCCCUUAGUUUCUAGCGAUAAUUUUCAUUUCAAUCGACUCCGUUUUCAUAUCACUCGACUCCGCUGAGAACGGAAAUUAUCAGUCAGCAAGAUCAAAGGAAAAAUUCGUAAAGUAGCAAUAAAUUCAGAUAAUGUCAAGUUUUGGUUCAUCACGUCGCGUUUUUUUUUUUAUUUUCUGGCACGUCCUUAACUUAACACAUCAGCAGUUCAUAGAUAAGAAGAAAUGUUGCUUAACACAGGUCUUUAAAAUUAAAUCUUCUAACACACAUAAACACACACACAGCAAAAAAAACAAAACAAGUAAAAAUCGGACUCAAAUGAGCCAUAGAUAAUAGAAUGCUCUAUUUAUAAUAUAUUUCAUUUUAUUUGUGAAGCUUAGAUUAUAAAUCUAAACCUCCUCUAAGAUAUUUUAUUUUCGUUUUUUUUAAUUUUCAGUCAUAGCUAUCGGAUCAGCUGUUAAUUUUGAAAGCCAAGAACAUACACCGGAAGAUACCAUUGCUGCAAUAAGUACGUCAUUGAACCUGCAAUAUGAAUCCGCUGAGAUGCCUUUAUACCAAUCCGUAUUUUUACCUACUAGUGCAGUCGAAAAUGAGGAACUAUCUACGUCUGUAGUUUCGAAUACAAGCAUUGAUAGCUAUGAUUCGUUUAGAUUCAGUCAAGGGAGCUAUGAAGAUCUAGAACGACAUAUUAAUGACCAGCAUCAGUACCAGCAGUGUCAGUUGCCUGUCAUGUCAAACGAGAGUGAAUCAUCACUGAACUAGAACAAGUAUUGCUGACUACAAUUUUGAAAUACAUUCAUUCAAUUGAAGAGGCAAUUAAUGAUGACAUAACAGAGAGAGAGGAAGAGUUUCCGGUUUAAAACAGAAAUUUCUAAUUACGGAAGGGACAGUUAUUGCUGUUGCAGAAUUCAAAGUCAUUGGAUAUUCGAUAAAAUAUUGAAACGGAGAAAAAGAAAAUUGUACGGCAAUCUAAAAUGCCUAAAGCCAAUAUGAAACCUUAAGAUAAACAAAUUGGCAUCAACAACAGAAACGCUAUAAUCGAUGUUUCUUAACAUCUCUUAAUAAAGAUUACAGACAAUGCUACAUAAUAAAAGAACAAGAUCUUUUAA